rnacentral:rRNA from 1 species
AUACGGAGGAUGCAAGCGUUAUCCGGAUUUAUUGGGUUUAAAGGGUGCGCAGGCGGUUUGCUAAGCGGGAGGUGAAAUGCCGGCGCUCAACGUCGGAAGUGCCUCCCGAACUGGUGGACUUGAAUGACUCUGCCGUGGGAGGAAUGUGUAGUGUAGCGGUGAAAUGCUUAGAGAUUACACAGAACACCGAUUGCGAAGGCAUCUCACGAAGGGUUGAUUGACGCUGAGGCACGAAAGCGUGGGGAUCAAACAGGAUUAGAUACCCUGGUAGUCCACGCAGUAAACGAUGAUGGCUAACCGCUGGAUCCAUCGGUUCAGUGGCCAAGCGAAAGCGAUAAGCCAUCCACCUGGGGAGUACGACCGCAAGGUUGAAACUCAAAGGAAUUGGCGGGG